rnacentral:rRNA from 1 species
UACGUAGGGUGCAGGCGUAAUCGGAAUCAUUGGGCGUAAAGCGCGCGUAGGCGGUCCGGUAAGUCGGCUGUGAAAGUCAAGGGCUCAACCCUUGAAAGCCGGCCGAUACUGUCGGACUAGAGUCCGGAAGAGGCGAGUGGAAUUCCCGGUGUAGCGGUGAAAUGCGCAGAUAUCGGGAGGAACACCAAUGGCGAAGGCAGCUCGCUGGGACGGUACUGACGCUGAGGCG